GAUUUUUUAGAACUGAGCCACCCUCAACCCAUUCAAGUAACAGAAGGAAAAUCAGGGGCUCGGGAAAAGAAUAUAGCCCAUUCAAAGUCCUGCCAUGGCUGAAGUGUAACCAGGAAGAACUCUUGGAUGAUCUGCCUCCAACAAGAACCAGAAAGGACUUUGGGCAAUUUA